AUUGAACGCUGGCGGCAUGCCUUACACAUGCAAGUCGAACGGUAGCGGGCCUUCGGGUGCCGACGAGUGGCGAACGGGUGAGUAAUGUAUCGGAACGUACCUUUCAGUGGGGGAUAACGUAGCGAAAGUUACGCUAAUACCGCAUAUUCUGUGCGCAGGAAAGCAGGGGACCUUCGGGCCUUGCGCUGAUUGAGCGGCCGAUAUCAGAUUAGCUAGUUGGUGAGGUAAAGGCUCACCAAGGCAACGAUCUGUAGCGGGUCUGAGAGGAUGAUCCGCCACACUGGAACUGAGACACGGUCCUGACUCCUACGGGAGGCAGCAGUGGGGAAUUUUGGACAAUGGGGGCAACCCUGAUCCAGCCAUGCCGCGUGAGUGAAGAAGGCCUUCGGGUUGUAAAGCUCUUUCGGCCGGGAAGAAAUCGUAUCAGCUAAUACCUGGUGCGGAUGACGGUACCGGCAUAAGAAGCACCGGCUAACUACGUGCCAGCAGCCGCAGUAAUAC
rnacentral:rRNA from 1 species